AGUGUAGGCGGUCAAGCAAGUCAGAGGUGAAAGGCAUCGGCCCAACCGAUGUAAGCCUUUGAAACUGUUUGACUUGAGUGCAGGAGAGGUAAGUGGAACUCCUAGUGUAGCGGUGAAAUGCGUAGAUAUUAGGAGGAACACCAGUGGCGAAGGCGACUUACUGGACUGUAACUGACGCUGAGGCUCGAAAGCGUGGGGAGCGAACA
rnacentral:rRNA from 1 species